rnacentral:rRNA from 1 species
UACAGAGGUCCCAAGCGUUGUUCGGAUUCACUGGGCGUAAAGGGUGCGUAGGUGGUUGGGAAAGUUUGAUGUGAAAGCUCGGAGCUUAACUCCGAAAUGGCAUUGAAUACUUCUUAACUUGAGGGUCGGAGGGGAGACUGGAAUUCUCGGUGUAGCAGUGAAAUGCGUAGAUAUCGAGAGGAGCACCAGUGGCGAAGGCGAGUCUCUGGACGACUCCUGACACUGAGGCACGAAAGCUAGGGGAGCAAACAGG